GUGGGGUGCGCUCUAUAGUCCAGAGAAUAUGGAUCCAGCAGAGUGACAGAACGGCUCGAUGGGGAGCAGGAAGGACAGGCUGGAGCAUGCUGAACAUAUCGCAGAGAAAUCAGAGGAUGGAUUUAUGAAGCACAGCCACAUGAUGGCAGUGCUGCAUCUGAUAUGCCACAAACGCUGAACACUGCUACUGCGUUUCCCAGAGUGAUGCUCAGGCUUUGACAUGGAGAGCCGUGCCUUCCCUUCUUCAAGCAGCGUGAGUGAUGAAAGUGACAGAAGAGACACCUGCCCUAAACCACAGCUGAUAAAGGGGGAGAAAAACAACGAGGGAAGUGGAGGGAAGUGGGCGCCAUGCCUGAUGGGAGAAACACACAAGGAGGGAACAAACUUGCAGAGACUAUCACUUAUAGUGACAGGCCAGGAGGUGCCGUGCUAUUA